rnacentral:rRNA from 1 species
CAUGCAAGUCGAACGAGGCCCUCUUCCUUCGGGAGGAGGUGUCCUAGUGGCGAACGGGUGAGUAACACGUUGGUGACCUACCCCGAAGAGGGGGACAACCCCGGGAAACUGGGGCUAAUACCCUAUGUGAUCCUAAGGAUUAGAUGCCUAAGGAUGAAAUGGAGCAAUUCGCUUCGGGAGGGGCCUGCGGCCUAUCAGCUAGUUGGUGAGGUAAUGGCUCACCAAGGCGACGACGGGUAGGGGACCUGAGAGGGUGACCCCCCACACUGGAACUGAAACACGGACCAGACACCUACGGGUGGCAGCAGUAGGGAAUAUUGCACAAUAGGCGAAAGCCUGAUGCAGCAACGCCGCGUGCGCGAUGAAGGCCUUAGGGUUGUAAAGCGCUUUUCUGGGGGAAGAGAAAGGACGGUACCCCAGGAAUAAGUCUCGGCUAACUACGUGCCAGCAGCCGCGGUAAAACGUAGGAGGCGAGCGUUAUCCGGAUUUACUGGGCGUAAAGCGCGUGCAGGCGGUUUGGUAAGUCGGACGUGAAAGCUCCCGGCUCAACUGGGAGAGGCCGUUCGAAACUACCAGGACUAGAGGGCAGCAGAGGGAGGUGGAAUUCCAGGUGUAGCGGU